AGAGUUUGAUCAUGGCUCAGGAUGAACGCUAGCGGCAGGCUUAAUACAUGCAAGUCGAGGGGCAUCAAGGUACACGAAAGUGUAUUGUUGGCGACCGGCGGACGGGUGAGUAAUAGGUAGGUAACCUACCUCAUACUGAGGCAUAGCUGGGAGAAACUCCAGGUAAUUCCUCAUGAGGUUAUAUGACACAUGUGAUAUAAUCAAAGGUAUCGCAAGGUACUGGUAUGAGAUGGGCUUACUGACCAUUAGCUAGUUGGUGAGAUAAGAGCUCACCAAGGCGAAGAUGGUUAGGGGUUUUGAGAGAGAGAUCCCCCACAUUGGAACUGAGAUACGGUCCAGACUCCUACGGGAGGCAGCAGUAGGGAAUAUUGGGCAAUGGGCGGAAGCCUGACCCAGCCAUGCCGCGUGAAGGAAGACGGCCUUAUGGGUUGUAAACUUCUUUACUAUGCGACUAACUAGAUUUACGAGAUAAUUCUAUAGAAUGUAGCAUAGCAAAAAGCACCGGCUAACUCCGUGCCAGCAGCCGCGGUAAUACGGAGGGUGCGAGCGUUAUUCGGAAUUACUGGGUUUAAAGGGUGCGUAGGCGGCUAAGUAAGUUGUCAUUGAAAGGCUACAGCUCAACUGUAGUAGUGGUGGCGAUACUGCUUAGCUAAGAACAUGGGAGGGGUACUUGGAAUGUGUGGUGUAGCGGUGAAAUGCGUAGAUAUCACACAGAACACCAGAGGCGAAGGCGGAGUACUAGACCAUAGUUGACGCUGAGGCACGAAAGCGUGGGGAUCAAACAGGAUUAGAUACCCUGGUAGUCCACGCCCUAAACGAUGAUCACUAGAUAUUGGCGACAAACAGUCAGUGUCCAAGCGAAAGUGAUAAGUGAUCCACCUGGGGACUACGGCCGCAAGGUUAAAACUCAAAGGAAUUGACGG
rnacentral:rRNA from 1 species